rnacentral:rRNA from 1 species
AAGCCAUGCAUGCCUAAGUCUUGGCUCUUGUACAGUGAAACCACGAAUGGCUCAUUAAAUCAGCUAUUGUUUGAUAGAUCUUACCCGUUACAUGGAUACCUGUAGUAAUUCUAGAGCUAAUACAUGCCUCGAUGCCGUGACCCAAUUGGGGAUCGGUGCACUUAUUAGAACAAAACCAACCGUGUAGCUGGCAAUCGCUUGCUGCCUGUUGUGUUGUGUUGACUCUGGAUAAUUCUGCUGAUCGCAGUCGGCCUUGUGUCGGCGACAGGUCUUAUAAAUGUCUGCCCUAUCAACUGACGAUGGUAGGCGACUUGCCUACCACGGUGAUAACGGGUAACGGGGAAUCAGGGUUCGAUUCCGGAGAGGGAGCCUGAGAAACGGCUACCACAUCCAAGGAAGGCAGCAGGCGCGCAAAUUACCCACUCUUAGCGCGAGGAGGUAGUGACGAAAAAUAACGAUGCGGGACUCACACGAGGCUCCGUAAUCGGAAUGAGUACAAUCUAAAUCCUUUAACGAGGACCAAUUGGAGGGCAAGUCUGGUGCCAGCAGCCGCGGUAACUCCAGCUCCAAUAGCGUAUAUUAAAGUUGCUGCAGUUAAAAAGCUCGUAGUUGGAUCUUGACGGCAUUGCUGCGGGUCUGGGUUGCGUUGGUUUGUUUCGGCCUGCCGUCGUUAAUUCGGUGGUUUGGUUCGGGCUGCCUCGUGCCUGGCUCGUUGGCGGUGUAGUCUUUCAGCCGUGUCUGUGUCUCCUCGUGGGAUGCAGGUGCCGAUGGUUGGGUAUGGGUUCGUCCCGCCCUUUCGUUGGUACGUCUUGGGAUGAUCUUUAUUGACUGUCCUGAGUGCGGACGGCAUGUUUACUUUGAACAAAUUUGAGUGCUCAAAGCAGGCCACCUGCCUGAAAAGUCUUGCAUGGAAUAAUGGAAUAGGACUUCGGUUCUAUUUUGUUGGUUUUCGGUUCCGAAGUAAUGGUUAAGAGAGACAGACGGGGGCAUUUGUAUGGCGGUGUUAGAGGUGAAAUUCUUGGAUCGCCGCCAGACAACCUGAAGCGAAAGCAUUUGCCAGGAAUGUUUUCAUUGACAAAGAGCGAAAGUCAGAGGUUCGAAGACGAUCAGAUACCGUCCUAGUUCUGACCAUAAACGAUGCCAACUGACGAUCCGUGGAGRUUGUACUUAUCGUCCCCACGGGCAGUCUCCGGGAAACCUGUAAGUCUAUGGGUUCCGGGGGAAGUAUGGUUGCAAAGCUGAAACUUAAAGGAAUUGACGGAAGGGCACCACCAGGAGUGGAGCCUGCGGCUUAAUUUGACUCAACACGGGGAAACUCACCCGGCCCGGACACUGUGAGGAUUGACAGAUUGACAGCUCUUUCUUGAUUCAUUGGUUGGUGGUGCAUGGCCGUUCUUAGUUGGUGGAGCGAUUUGUCUGGUUAAUUCCGAUAACGAACGAGACUCUAACCUGCUAAAUAGUAUGCUUGUAAUUCGUACUCGUUCAGGUGGUUUUGUCGGAUUGCUGCCUAUAGUGGUGGUCUGGCUGGCUUACUUGGCGGGCACUGUGCAGGUGCAACUUCUUAGAGGGACAAGUUGAUUAAGCAACAUGAAGUUGAGCAAUAACAGGUCUGUGAUGCCCUUAGAUGUCCGGGGCCGCACGCGCGCUACAAUGACGGUACCAAUGUGUAUGACCUCCUGGCCCGAAAGGGUUGGGCAAACCGGUCAAUUACCGUCGUGACAGGGAUCGGGGUUUGUAAUUAUCCCCCGUGAACGAGGAAUUCCCAGUAAGUGCAAGUCAUAAGCUUGUGCUGAUUACGUCCCUGCCCUUUGUACACACCGCCCGUCGCUACUACCGAUUGAAUGGUUUGGCAAGGCCUUCGGAUUGGUGCCAUUGUAGUGGUCACUUGUGACUGCUCAGACGGUGCUGAGAAGAGGACCAAACUUGAUCAUUUAGAGGAA